AAGAUGCUUAGAGAUAGUUUAUUAGUAUAUAAAACCGACAAAGAUAAAAUAAGGGAGUCUAAUGGAUUUACGGUGUGAAAACUUAAUUUAAUUAAGGAUCCUAAAGUAAUCUUGUGACUUACCACCUGCGAAGAGCGGGCUUUAUCAACGAUAGACUUUCUUUAAGCAUUUUU
rnacentral:other from 1 species